AUACGGAGGAUCCGAGCGUUAUCCGGAUUUAUUGGGUUUAAAGGGAGCGUAGGCGGACGCUUAAGUCAGUUGUGAAAGUUUGCGGCUCAACCGUAAAAUUGCAGUUGAUACUGGGUGUCUUGAGUACAGUAGAGGCAGGCGGAAUUCGUGGUGUAGCGGUGAAAUGCUUAGAUAUCACGAAGAACUCCGAUUGCGAAGGCAGCCUGCUGGACUGUAACUGACGCUGAUGCUCGAAAGUGUGGGUAUCAAACAGGAUUAGAUACCCUGGUAGUCCACACAGUAAACGAUGAAUACUCGCUGUUUGCGAUAUACAGUAAGCGGCCAAGCGAAAGCGUUAAGUAUUCCACCUGGGGAGUACGCCGGCAACGGUGAAACUUAAAGGAAUUGACGGG
rnacentral:rRNA from 1 species